UACGAAGGGUGCAAACGUUGCUCGGAAUUAUUGGGCGUAAAGCGCACGUAGGCGGCUUAGCAAGUCGGAAGUGAAAUCCCUCGGCUCAACCAAGGAAGUGCUUUCGAAACUGCUGAGCUUGAGUACUUAAGAGGAUCGCGGAAUUCCCGGUGUAGAGGUGAAAUUCGUAGAUAUCGGGAGGAACACCAGUGGCGAAGGCGGCGAUCUGGGAAGAUACUGACGCUGAGGUGCGAAAGCGUGGGGAGCAAAC
rnacentral:rRNA from 1 species